UGAGUAACCCAGAUGGUCGCUGCUUGAUUCUAAUAAAUAUUAGUUAUCAAGGGGAGGAAAGUCCGAGCUCCAUAGGGCAGAGUGCUGGGUAACCCCCAGUGGAGGCGACUCUAAGGAAAGUGCAACAGAGAUAUACCGCCAAAACAAUAUUUGAUUGUUUUGGUAAGGGUGGAAAGGCGAGGUAAGAGCUCACCAGCGCAAUGGCGACUUUGCGGCUAUGUAAACCCCACUUGGAGCAAGACCGAAUAGGAAGGCAUCAUCUUUAAAAAGAUGAAGGAGUUGCCCGCUCCGCCUUCGGGUGUGUCGCUUGAGCUUAUUGGUAACAAUAGGCCUAGAUAGAUGACUGUCUAAUACAGAACUCGGCUUAUAGGAUUACUCAGCCA
rfam:Clostridiales bacterium oral taxon 876 str. F0540 genomic scaffold Scaffold90, whole genome shotgun sequence.